AGAGUUUGAUCCUGGCUCAGGAUGAACGCUGACAGAAUGCUUAACACAUGCAAGUCUACUUGAUCCUUCGGGUGAUGGUGGCGGACGGGUGAGUAACGCGUAAAGAACUUGCCCUGCAGUCUGGGACAACAUUUGGAAACGAAUGCUAAUACCGGAUAUUAUGUGAGUUUCGCAUGAAAUUCAUAUGAAAGCUAUAUGCGCUGCAGGAGAGCUUUGCGUCCUAUUAGCUAGUUGGUGAGGUAACGGCUCACCAAGGCGAUGAUAGGUAGCCGGCCUGAGAGGGUGAACGGCCACAAGGGGACUGAGACACGGCCCUUACUCCUACGGGAGGCAGCAGUGGGGAAUAUUGGACAAUGGACCAAAAGUCUGAUCCAGCAAUUCUGUGUGCACGAUGAAGUUUUUCGGAAUGUAAAGUGCUUUCAGUUGGGACGAAGUAAGUGACGGUACCAACAGAAGAAGCGACGGCUAAAUACGUGCCAGCAGCCGCGGUAAUACGUAUGUCGCAAGCGUUAUCCGGAUUUAUUGGGCGUAAAGCGCGUCUAGGCGGUUUGGUAAGUCUGAUGUGAAAAUGCGGGGCUCAACUCCGUAUUGCGUUGGAAACUGCCAAACUAGAGUACUGGAGAGGUGGGCGGAACUACAAGUGUAGAGGUGAAAUUCGUAGAUAUUUGUAGGAAUGCCGAUGGGGAAGCCAGCCCACUGGACAGAUACUGACGCUAAAGCGCGAAAGCGUGGGUAGCAAACAGGAUUAGAUACCCUGGUAGUCCACGCCGUAAACGAUGAUUACUAGGUGUUGGUGGGUAUGACCCAUCGGUGCCGCAGCAAACGCAAUAAGUAAUCCACCUGGGGAGUACGUUCG
rnacentral:rRNA from 1 species